AUGUGUUCACGGAGGCUGUAAUUCCAUGCCCCAAAAUUUUGGAACGUCGGUGCUAGAGAAAUAUCUAUCAAAAAGAGUAACAGAUUGAAUAGGACAAGUAAGAAUUUCACAUUCCAAAAUUAAUAGUAUGGCUUCUGAAGUACCGAAUGAAAUAAAUUGCCUUUAGUAAAGUACAAUGUAGCAUAAACUAAAAAUAUAAGUUUCUUAUUUAAAUCUCAUUUGAACAUUUUAUGAUGCUUACCUUGGAGAUUGUCUCAUUACUUUGGCAACUAAUGAUGUGUAGGCAGAGAUAAGCUAACUGUUGUAGAGCUGGACUUAUGGAAACAGAAGAGGAAUUUCCUUUCUAUUCUUCACUUCUGGAAGGUGUUUGAAGAAGCAAAUUAGUGGCUUCUGGGAAGGUAUUAAUAAGUCACAGAGCAAAGAGGAAUAUUUCAAGGGAGGUAAAUAUAUAUACAAUUUCCUGACGGUACAACAAGUUCACUUUGUGAUUUUCCUCAUUGAUUUAGAACUAUGUAUUUUUUGCAUCAGUGGCCUUCCUUCUCGUUGAUAACUUGUGACUUCAUUUGUGUGACUCAUUUCAUUAAGUUUGUCUCCAUGAACACUAACCACCCAAUAUGCCAUACUGUGAGCAUUUUUCUCUAAGAUAUAAAU
rnacentral:lncRNA from 1 species